CCUACGGGAGGCUGCAGUGGGGAAUAUUGGACAAUGGGGGCAACCCUGAUCCAGCCAUGCCGCGUGUGUGAAGAAGGCCCUCGGGUUGUAAAGCACUUUCAGUGAGGAAGAACGCCUGGUGGUUAAUACCCAUCAGGAAAGACAUCACUCACAGAAGAAGCACCGGCUAACUCCGUGCCAGCAGCCGCGGUAAUACGGAGGGUGCGAGCGUUAAUCGGAAUUACUGGGCGUAAAGCGCGCGUAGGUGGCUUGAUAAGCCGGUUGUGAAAGCCCCGGGCUCAACCUGGGAACGGCAUCCGGAACUGUCAAGCUAGAGUGCAGGAGAGGAAGGUAGAAUUCCCGGUGUAGCGGUGAAAUGCGUAGAGAUCGGGAGGAAUACCAGUGGCGAAGGCGGCCUUCUGGACUGACACUGACACUGAGGUGCGAAAGCGUGGGUAGCAAACAGGAUUAGAUACCCUUUAGUC
rnacentral:rRNA from 1 species